rnacentral:SRP_RNA from 1 species
CUGUGCUAGAUGGGGAGGUAGCGGUGCCCUGUAACCCGCAACCCGCUAUAGCGGGGUUGAAUUCCUGUCUUAGGUUUACACAUGUAAGGUCUUGGCCUUGGUAAGUAAUGAGGAUGAUUGGGUCCUGCGCAACGGAAAUCCAUGAACCCUGUCAGAUCCGGAAGGAAGCAGCAGUAAGUGGACAUUUUCGUGUGCCGCGGGGAAGCCUGAUCGGAGUUAACUGCCCGGUUCCCGCUUAUAGGUGUAAAUCAAAGUCAGGUGCACAG